rnacentral:rRNA from 1 species
AUUGAACGCUGGCGGCAUGCUUUACACGUGCAAGUCGAACGGUAACAGGCCGCAAGGUGCUGACGAGUGGCGAACGGGUGAGUAAUGCAUCGGAACGUGCCCAGUCGUGGGGGAUAACGCAGCGAAAGCUGUGCUAAUACCGCAUACGAUCUAUGGAUGAAAGCGGGGGACCGUAAGGCCUCGCGCGAUCGGAGCGGCCGAUGUCAGAUUAGGUAGUUGGUGGGGUAAAGGCUCACCAAGCCAACGAUCUGUAGCUGGUCUGAGAGGACGACCAGCCACACUGGGACUGAGACACGGCCCAGACUCCUACGGGAGGCAGCAGUGGGGAAUUUUGGACAAUGGGCGCAAGCCUGAUCCAGCAAUGCCGCGUGCAGGAAGAAGGCCUUCGGGUUGUAAACUGCUUUUGUACGGAACGAAACGGUCUGGGUUAAUACCCUGGGCUAAUGACGGUACCGUAAGAAUAAGCACCGGCUAACUACGUGCCAGCAGCCGCGGUAAUAC